rnacentral:misc_RNA from 1 species
GAAAUGCGAUACGUAGUGCGAAUUGCAGAACUCCGUGAAUCAUCAAAUCUUUGAACGCAACUUGCGCUUCCAUUUACGUGGGAGCAUGCUUGUUUCAGUGUCCGUCUCAACCUCUCCCCGCCACUCGUGGGCGCGCUGGAGGGCAUGGGUGCGUCUGGGUCACAGCUGUGUGACCCAGUCACCUGAAGUGCAGUGGCACGCUAGUGAAACUGUCCGCCAGCGUACUUCAAAACCACGCAGUUGCAAUUUCAACUGCCCUGCUCAAUACGCAGGCCUGGGUAAGAGUUCUCACACUCCACACACAGGCAGGCAGCAGCAGGCGCAGGCAGCAGCGCUGAGUGCGAAGUGCCGUGACUUUCCUGCAGAGCGUCGCGCCGAGACCCCCCCAUAAUUUUUCAUCGGACCUGAAAUAAGUAAGAGGACCCGCCGAAUUUAA